AUUGCCUCUUAACUUCAUUGAACAUGAAUUGAGUCUCGCUCAUGGAACUCCCAUUGAUUGGGCUUAUUUUUGCCGUGAAGUAGCGGAGGAUAUAGUAAUUAACAAUUCAGAGAAAAUUGGAGGAGUUGGUGUAGUAGUAGAAAUUGAUGAAUCUAAAUUUGGAAAAAGGAAAUAUAAUCGUGGAAAAAGAGUUGAUGGUGUUUGGGUUUUUGGUGGAGUGGAAAGAGGAACAGGAAGGUGUUUUCUAGUGGUUGUUCAAAAUCGCACUGCAACCACUUUGCUAGCUGUCAUUAAA